CUCUCCUUCCCCUCCCCCCUCUCUCCCUCUUUCCUCCUGUUCUUCUCCCUGUCUCUUUCUUAUUAGGAUCUCAUGUAUUCCAUUCCAGAUUGGCCUCCAACUCUUUGUGCAGCCAAGACUGACCUUGGAUUCCCCUGGGUGUUUGGAUUACAAACAUGUACCACUGGCCCGGCUGAUGCAGUGCUAGAGAUCAAACCCAGGGCUUCAUGUGUGAUAGUCAAGCACUCCACCCACUGAGCUACAUUCCCAGCCCCUAAAAUCAAACAUUUGGAAACUAAUGUGGAGCUUUGUCUUUUACAAAGUAGGUUGUCUUGUUACUAAACAUAAGUUAUUUCGGUAUACAAUCUGCCACCAUGGGAUGCAAACAGAUAAUAAAGAAUCUUUCUUCACAGAGAGAACCAGGCAACAGCUUCCAUCUAUUAGGGAUGGCACGGAGCUGAAGCAUCUUGCCAUUCCAGCACCAUGCCAGCCUGCCCUUGGCGCUGUUAGCUGGGAAACAACUGACUAUCCUGAAGCACUAAGGAUGGACAGAUCCGAGAGCAGAGCUGAAAGCAAGCCAACCCGUCCCAGCCUCUCCGCACCUCGGCCUCACCUCUGCAUGUUUCUAUUUGAGCUGUGAGAAAGAAAGCUGCUCCAAUGACAAGGAUGACGUGGAGAAGAGGAGAGGAAGAGGGGGAGGGGACGAGGAAGACGCCUGACUAAGGUUUUUAUUAAGCAUCAACAAAGCCGAAAAAACAAGCCAAGCUGACACUCACAUUUUCUACAACAAACUGUGUUGUUUGAAACUAAGUUGCCCUCACGAUAUUUCUAUGGAACUGACCACUAAGAUGAAAGUCCCUGCAAGCUUGGAGUGAUACAACUUGAUGACUCAAUUCUCCCACCUUCUCCCUCUAAUUAGACUCCUGGGACACCCAGUUCGCACAGCUGAGUGAGAGGACAUUUGCCUUCUUUGGCGAGAAGAUGUCCUUGGCGUAUGAAGCCCACCAGUGUUCUCAUUGCCUGGCUGUAACUCAAGAAGUAGCACUUUGCUUGGCAUUGACUCUUUUGGAAGCAGGAGCUUAACUCAGACAGUGAAGUGUGGACCAGUUUUAAUUACAGGAUGCAAAUGAUCCAAAAUGUGUUUCUACUAAUUUGCUUCUAGAACAUCAUUUAUAAACAAACACAAAGUUUAGUUUUAUGAAUAACUCUCAAAUUCCCCUUUUGGUGAUACCCUUACCUUCCUCUGAAAACUUUACAAUAUUAUUCAUUUGAAAUGUAAACUCCUCAACCAUUGCUAAUUUCUCUUGGGUGGAGGGCAACAUAAACAUCAUAGUGUGGAAUUAAAAUAUUAGGCUUACAACUCUUCUGUGGAAAUAAACAGGGAUCCUUGCAAACAGAGUAAUGAUGGCACACCAGUGGACAGUUAAAUAAAAGUAAUUUU